rnacentral:rRNA from 1 species
GACGAACGCUGGCGGCGUGCUUAACACAUGCAAGUCGAACGCACAGUUUAUACCGUAGCUUGCUACACCAUAGACUGUGAGUUGCGAACGAGUGAGUUACGCGUAGGUAACCUGCCUGGUAGCGGGGGAUAACUAUUGGAAACGAUAGCUAAUACCGCAUAAUAUUAAUUAUUGCAUGAUAAUUAAUUGAAAGGUGCAAUUGCACCACUACCAGAUGGACCUUCGUUGUAUUAGCUAGUAGGUGAGGUAACGGCUCACCUAGGCGACGAUACAUAGCCGAACUGAGUGGGUGAGUAGCCGGCCUGGGACUGAGACCCGGCCCAGAGUCCUUCAGGAGGCAGCAGGAGUGAAACUGCGGGAAUGGGCGAAAGACUGAGCGAACAAGGCCGCGUGAGUGAAGAAGGUUUUCGGAUCGUAAAGCUCGGUUUUAAGGGAAGAACGGGUGUGAGAGUGGAAAGUUCACACUGUGACGGUAUCUUACCAGAAAGGGACGGCUAACUACGUG